rnacentral:rRNA from 1 species
AGUGAACGCUGGCGGUAGGCCUAACACAUGCAAGUCGAACGGCAGCACAGUAAGAGCUUGCUCUUACGGGUGGCGAGUGGCGGACGGGUGAGGAAUACAUCGGAAUCUACUUUUUCGUGGGGGAUAACGUAGGGAAACUUACGCUAAUACCGCAUACGACCUACGGGUGAAAGCAGGGGAUCUUCGGACCUUGCGCGAUUGAAUGAGCCGAUGUCGGAUUAGCUAGUUGGCGGGGUAAAGGCCCACCAAGGCGACGAUCCGUAGCUGGUCUGAGAGGAUGAUCAGCCACACUGGAACUGAGACACGGUCCAGACUCCUACGGGAGGCAGCAGUGGGGAAUAUUGGACAAUGGGCGCAAGCCUGAUCCAGCCAUACCGCGUGGGUGAAGAAGGCCUUCGGGUUGUAAAGCCCUUUUGUUGGGAAAGAAAAGCAGCAGGUUAAUACCCCGCUGUUCUGACGGUACCCAAGGAAUAAGCACCGGCUAACUCCGUG